AUUGAACGCUGGCGGUAGGCCUAACACAUGCAAGUCGGACGAGCGGCGGACGGGUGAGUAAUGUAUCGGGAUCUGCUCGCUGGCGGGGGAUAACUACUGGAAACUUUCGCUAAUACCGCAUACGAUCGAAUUAACCCAUAUGGGAUUAGCUAGUAGGUGGGGUAACGGCCCACCAAGGCGACGAUCCCUAGCUGGUCUGAGAGGAUGAUCAGCCACAAUGGGACUGAGACACGGUCCAGACUCCUAAGGGAGGCAGAAGUGGGGAAUAUUGGACAAUGGGCGCAAGCCUGAUCCAGCCAUGCCGCGUGGAUGAAGAAGGCCUUCGGGUUGUAAAGUACUUUCGUUGGGAAAGCGGUACCCAAAGAAUAAGCACCGGCUAACUUCGUGCCAGCCGCCGCGGUAAUUC
rnacentral:rRNA from 1 species